rnacentral:pre_miRNA from 14 species
ACCGGAUUCGGAGCUGCCGUCUGUUGGGCCGGGGGCAGGGCCUUUGUGAAGGCGGGUUGUGCUCGGAUCGCCUCUGGGCCCUUCCUCCAGCCCCGAGACGGAUUCACCGCCGGGCUGAAG